rnacentral:rRNA from 1 species
AUGAACGCUAGCGGGAGGCCUAACCCAUGCCAGCCGCGCGGUAGAGUUUCUUCGGAAACUUGAGAGCGGCGCACGGGUGCGUAACACGUGUGCAACCUACCUUUAUCUGGGGGAUAGCCUUUCGAAAGGAAGAUUAAUACCCCAUAAUAUAAUGAUUGGCAUCAAUUAUUAUUGAAAACUCCGGUGGAUAGAGAUGGGCACGCGCAAGAUUAGAUAGUUGGUGAGGUAACGGCUCACCAAGUCAAUGAUCUUUAGGGGUCCUGAGAGGGAGAUCCCCCACACUGGUACUGAGACACGGACCAGACUCCUACGGGAGGCAGCAGUGAGGAAUAUUGGACAAUGGGUGAGAGCCUGAUCCAGCCAUCCCGCGUGAAGGAUGACGGUCCUAUGGAUUGUAAACUUCUUUUGUACAGGGAUAAACCUACCCUCGUGAGGGUAGCUGAAGGUACUGUACGAAUAAGCACCGGCUAACUCCGUG